AUUCCAGCUCCAAUAGCGUAUAUUAAAGUUGUUGCAGUUAAAAAGCUCGUAGUUGGAUUUCUGGGAGGGUGCCGCCGUCCGGCGUGUCCGUGUGCAGUGGCGCCCUUCCAUCCUUCUGUUAGCGUCUCUUGGCAUUCAUUUGCUGGUGGCGGGCUCAGAUAUUUUACCUUGAGAAAAUUAGAGUGUUUCAGGCAGGCUAGGCCGGAAUACAUUAGCAUGGAAUAAUGGAAUAGGACUACGGUCUCUUUGUUGGUUUGAGGGACUGCAGUAAUGAUUAAUAGGGAUAGUUGGGGGCAUUAGUAUUUAAUUGUCAGAGGUGGAAUUCUCAGAUUUGUUAAAGACUAACUUAUGCGAAAGCAUUUGCCAAGGAUGUUUUCAUUA
rnacentral:rRNA from 1 species